rnacentral:SRP_RNA from 2 species
GCCGGGAGUUGUGGUGUCCUCCUGUAAUCCAACUACUCGGAGGUUGGGUAUAUAGGAUGUUUUAAGGUCGGGGGUUGUGGGAUUGGAUUUUUCAAGUUGAUUAGGCACCCGCUAAGGGUAAAUCGGAAACUUGGAUGCCUUGGGAGAGUCUGAGGUAGCCAGGUUGAGUCCGAAAAGGAGGGAAAAAUCGGUCUAAAAGUCUCACCGAGCUGAGAGUCGUGGGUUCAAAUUCUGGGAGUGGGAGUUCGAUUUCAGCUCGUCCAAACAAGAACGGAUUUGUACCUAU